AGACCUUCCUACUUAACUUGACUAAUGUGCGUGACUCCGAUAGGUUCGAACACUAAGCCGGUAGUACAUGGACUACUCCUAAUCGAGGUGACCAUCUAGCAAUGAUACCCGACAUCCGGAUAGGUCGAAUAUGCAAAGCAACAUUCAAGAACCUAGACGUAUGGUUGUUGCAUAAUUCAUCCCUAUGACCAUCGAUGCUCAAGAUGACCUCAGAGUGGACUGUCGAACUCUGGGUCCGGUCAUCCAUAGUGUAUUUCAAUUAAUCAAAUCAAGUGACCAUCACUUGGUUUACCCUGGCCAAGGUUUUACUGAAUUGAAAUACAGCGAGACAUCAACUCCUAUAAUCUGGAGCGGUCAAUCCCAUCUUGACUCGUACACAGACUUCGCGAGUACUUGACUGCACCCAGCAUCCUUCCGAUCCCUGAAUUAGAAAUUCAGGUCAUCCAGNN
rnacentral:lncRNA from 1 species